rnacentral:siRNA from 1 species
GUAUGAAUAUGAUGGUUUGGACGG